rnacentral:rRNA from 1 species
AGUGAACGCUGGCGGUAGGCCUGACACAUGCAAGUCGAACGGCAGCACAGUAAGAGCUUGCUCUUACGGGUGGCGAGUGGCGGACGGGUGAGGAAUACAUCGGAAUCUACUUUUUCGUGGGGGAUAACGUAGGGAAACUUACGCUAAUACCGCAUACGACCUACGGGUGAAAGCAGGGGAUCUUCGGACCUUGCGCGAUUGAAUGAGCCGAUGUCGGAUUAGCUAGUUGGCGGGGUAAAGGCCCACCAAGGCGACGAUCCGUAGCUGGUCUGAGAGGAUGAUCAGCCACACUGGAACUGAGACACGGUCCAGACUCCUACGGGAGGCAGCAGUGGGGAAUAUUGGACAAUGGGCGCAAGCCUGAUCCAGCCAUACCGCGUGGGUGAAGAAGGCCUUCGGGUUGUAAAGCCCUUUUGUUGGGAAAGAAAAGCGGCAGGUUAAUACCCCGCUGUUCUGACGGUACCCAAAGAAUAAGCACCGGCUAACUUCGUG